CAGCCGCCGCGGUAAAACGUAGGGUGUGAGCGUUAAUCGGAAUUACUGGGCGUAAAGCGUGCGCAGGCGGUUUUGUAAGACAGGCGUGAAAUCCCCGGGCUCAACCUGGGAAUGGCGCUUGUGACUGCAAAGCUAGAGUGCGGCAGAGGGGGAUGGAAUUCCGCGUGUAGCAGUGAAAUGCGUAGAGAUCGGGAGGAACAUCAGUGGCGAAGGCGGCCAUCUGGGACAACACUGACGCUGAAGCACGAAAGCGUGGGGAGCAAACAGGAUUAGAUACCCCGGUAGUCCCUGUCUCUUAUAU
rnacentral:rRNA from 1 species